rnacentral:rRNA from 1 species
GCUAAACGCGAAGAACCUUACCCACCUUUGACAUGGCAGGAAUCCUUCAGAGAUGGAGGAGUGCUCGAAAGAGAACCUGCACACAGGUGCUGCAUGGCUGUCGUCAGCUCGUGUCGUGAGAUGUUGGGUUAAGUCCCGCAACGAGCGCAACCCUUGCCAUCAGUUGCUACGAAAGGGCACUCUGAUGGGACUGCCGGUGACAACCGGAGAAGUGGGAUGACGUCAAGUCCUCAUGGCCCUUAUAGGUGGGGCUACACACGUCAUCGAAUGGCCGGUACAAAGGGCAGCGAAGCCGCGAGGUGAAGCCAAUCCCAUAAAGCCGGUCGUAGUCCGGAUCGCAGUCUGCAACUCGACUGCGUGAAGUCGGAAUCGCUAGUAAUCGUGGAUCAGCAUGUCACGGUGAAUACGUUCCCGGGCUUGUACACACCG